UUUAAUUGAAGAGUUUGAUCAUGGCUCAGAUUGAACGCUGGCGGCAGGCUUAACACAUGCAAGUCGAGCGGUAGCACAAGAGAGCUUGCUCUCUGGGUGACGAGCGGCGGACGGGU
rnacentral:rRNA from 1 species